GUAGUCAUGGCUAAGUGGUUAAGGCGAUCGACUAGAAAUCCGUUGGGGUAUUCUCCCGCAGGUUCAAGUCCUGCCAACUAUA
rfam:Danio rerio chromosome 4, GRCz11 reference primary assembly.